GCUUUGAAUGAUCCAGUACUUUAUAGUCAUGUCCAUAUAUUCAUAUUAUGUCUUUCUAUAAUUUCAGUCAGUGGAAAUACAUAGAAUCAACAUCCUAGCUGAUUUUGCAAUUUUUCAUACAGACUAUGAAAACACUGCUGUAGUUCUUUGAUUCUUUAAUAAGUUGUACAUGUUGUGAUGUAACAAAUUACUUUUCAUAAACUGCAUGUACAAAAUGAAUGAAAGAAGGUAAGAUAUUAAAGUUAGUCUCAAAUAGUUAUUUAUACUUGUGAGAAAGUUGCAUGUAAUACAAAUGUAUUUCAUAGAAAAUGAUUCCUCUUGUUAUUGACUUACAAAUAUAACUCAGUCUCAAAUGAAAUGAAAGUUCAAAGAUUUAAGAAUACAAACAAGUACACAUGUGCAUACACAAACGUUAACAUAUUAUUGACUAUAUUAACAUUUGCCAUGCAAGAUAUCAAAAUAUUUUUAUAGUAUACAGCUAUUGACCAUUUUUACAUCACAGACUACAAAUUUUGUGGACUCAGUGAAAUUAAGUCAUGUACAUGUAUUUGCAGAUUUUUCCAUCUUUCGUACAUGUAGGUGUAAUUAAGAUUGAGCCAAACUGCAUUGAAAAAUGUGCUGGAACAGUUUACAUUUAUAAUAUUACUUUGUAAUGAGCACCAUAGGCUGAUCCAGGGGGCUUUAUGAAGCCCUUUUGUUGAAAAAAUUUUGGUUAAUUAUAUUGAAAAUCACUGAAGCAUGACUUGAGAGUGGCCCCCUAAGGUCAGUCAGAGUACAAAAAGUUCUGGAUCUGCCACUAAGAAUCUACAUGUAUACCAAUAUAAAAUACCUGACACUCUAAAACAAGCAUAAUUUUUUUAAUGGUUUACAAUCAGGACGACAUCAACAUUGACCUUCUUCAUUUUUGGGGUCAAAUGUGACAGGGCUGCCACUUUUUAAGGACAUCAUCGAUUAUUUCAAUUACAUAUUGAGGUUGAAAUGCUUUUGUAAAAUUUAGUUACACAUUUAUGAUAAUUUGAUAAAGCUUAAAUCAAUGUAAGCGUUUUGUUUUAAACUUUUUUUUUAUAUCUGCACUAAAAAGAGAAGUGUUAUAAUUGUCUUUAGACAUUAAUAUAUAUAAAUUCACAUUUAAUUUGACUUUUAAAUUGCAUAUUGUAUUGUUUUCUUAUAUUGGAAUUGUUUUUCAAUACAUGUAUAACAUUAUAAUUUCAGGAUAGAAUGCAAAACUGGUGAAGAUGAAGGUUAUAAUUGUGAUCUACAUAUUGAUUGAUUUGAAGCAGAUUUUGUUCUAGAGUGAAAUAAAAAAAAACUAGUGCAGUGUGUUUUAGAAAGAUGUUCAACUAUUAACACAACAACAAACAUAUUCAUUGUUUGACUGAGAGAUAAAUGAAUAUAAGUGUAAAUAAAGAGUAGAC
rnacentral:lncRNA from 1 species